GACGAACGCUGGCGGCGUGCCUAAUACAUGCAAGUCGAACGCAGUGGGGACGGGUGAGUAACACGUGGGUAACCUCCCAUCAGAGGGGAGAACACUUGGAAACAGGUGCUAAACCGAUACGGAUGUAGGUACCCGCGGUGCAUUAGCUAGUUGGUGAGGUAACGGCUAACCAAGGCGACGAUGCAUACCCUGCCGGAGAGGGGGAUCGGCCACACUGGGACGGAGACACGGCCCAGACUCCUACGGGAGGCAGCAGUGGGGAAUAUUCGGCAAUGGGCGAAAGUCUGACCGAGCCACGCCGCGUGAGUGAAGAAGGUUUUCGGAUCGUAAAGCUCUGUUGUUAGAGAAGCGGUAUCUAACCAGAAAGCCACGGCUAACUACGUGCCAGCAGCCGCGGUAAUUC
rnacentral:rRNA from 1 species